AGAUAAGCCAGUCAAUUCCUUUCGAGGGAUGAUCAAUUUCCUUCUUUGUUGUAAAGAUAAAAGCUUGCAGAAAGAAGUCUUCAAUUCUGUACGACAUCAGGAGAAUUUGAGGGCUAUGGAAAGGAACAGUGAGUGCUCUCUCGCCAAUGGCUUCCAGCCUCUGCUUCUACAUGUUGAUGCUGCCAGAAUUGCUAAGUAUUCGAAGCAGUCUAUGUUUUUAUAUUACUAACACCAGCAUUUUUAACUUCUGAGGCUUGAUUGAUUGGAGUGGAUUUGUACAGGGAUUACAAUUUUGUGGAACAAUGCUUAGCUGCGCUCUAUGUUUGAGCAGUUCUUGACCCCUUAAAUUUUUCUUGCAAUUAUUCUGUUUUGGUAUCAACAGAUAUCACAAAUGCUUCAAAUACUGUAUGAAGCAACGCUUUUUAAAAAAUGUUCUUAUACAUACUAAGUUUAUAUUAUAGUUCUGGUAUUAUAUUGUAUUCUGCCAGUUCUGGAGUUUUAGAUUUUAUAUUGUUGUAUAUCUCACUGUUUUGCAAUCACUUGGCAUAUUUUUAAAGAGGAAUAUCACAAGAAGAGUUCAUUGAAUUAAAUUAAAUGUUUACUGUCUGUUGGACUAACACUCCAUUAAAAACUAGUUGGAUAAUGUUUGGAUUUUUAAAUGUAUGAUCCUAUAAGUUCACAUCUGUUGAAACUCGUGCAAUUUAAGUCAUGGGACCACUCUUCAUGCAAUCUGAAGUAAUCAUAAAGGAAGAUCUAACCUGCAGACAGAGAAAAGCAGCCAAUGACCCUGAACCUAUGCUGAUGGUCUCAAUAUGUGCUGGUGUUUGUAUUAUCUUUAUUAUUUUAUUGAACAGCUGUAAAUUACAGAAUUCACACCAGAUGGUACUUCGUGAUUGACUUUACUACUAGACUUUUAACUACUUUAGGACUGUUUACCUUCAACACCACUGCUGACGUUCAGAAUGCAUUAGCACUCAAUGAUAAACCUUACUUGUUUUUGUACAAGCCCAAAAACAAUCACUAAACAUGGUUGAAACUUAAGUAAAUGAUGAAUAUUCAGGUACAUAGUCCGAUCUGUUUCACCACAGUAGCAGAUUCAUUCAACGAACAUAAUCAGGAAAACUGACUAGUUCACAGAAUGAUUCCACACUUGGUCUGCCCCAGAAAAUA